rnacentral:rRNA from 1 species
CCUACGGGCGGCAGCAGUGGGGAAUAUUGCACAAUGGGGGAAACCCUGAUGCAGCGACGCCGCGUGAAGGAAGAAGUAUUUCGGUAUGUAAACUUCUAUCAGCAGGGAAGAAAGUGACGGUACCUGACUAAGAAGCCCCGGCUAACUACGUGCCAGCAGCCGCGGUAAUACGUAGGUGGCAAGCGUCGUCCGGAUUUACUGGGUGUAAAGGGCGUGCAGCCGGGAAGACAAGUCAGAUGUGAAAUCCCGCGGCUCAACCGCGGAACUGCAUUUGAAACUGUUUUUCUUGAGUACCGGAGAGGUCAUCGGAAUUCCUUGUGGAGCGGUGAAAUGCGGAGAUAUAAGGAAGAACACCAGUGGCGAAGGCGGAUGACUGGACGGCAACGGACGGUGAGGCGCGAAAGCGUGGGGAGCAAACAGGAUUAGAUACCCUAGUAGUC